ACUCCCUUGAAGCAGCAGAAUGCCUAGAAGAUGCCAGAAGCUCUUGAUCCUAAUUAUAAGAGACAAGCACCAGGUUCAGUGGACCCUCCCACUUCCACAGACCCAAUGUAAAGGCGGCAUUGGUCUGGAUCACAGUUCAGAGAAUUACAAGAUCUACUUGGGAAGAGACAACAUAUUUUUCAGGUUAUAUCUCUGAAUUUAGACAGCAAUAAAGAAAAAAUAAACCUGAUUGUAUUCCAUUGCUGCCUUAUUGAUGCAAA
rnacentral:lncRNA from 1 species